rnacentral:hammerhead_ribozyme from 1 species
ACCCAGCUGACGAGUCCGGAAUAGGACGAAACGCACGUUCCGGAU